rnacentral:piRNA from 1 species
UCCGUAACAAUAGAGGGGAAAUCA